rnacentral:tRNA from 1 species
GGGAGUAUAGCCAAGGGGUAAGGCACGAGUCUGCAAAACUCUCAUCCCCGGUUCAAAUCCGGGUACUCCCUCCA